rnacentral:rRNA from 1 species
AUCGAACGCUGGCGGCAGGCCUAACACAUGCAAGUCGAGCGGAUGAAGCGAGCUUGCUUCUGGAUUCAGCGGCGGACGGGUGAGUAAUGCCUAGGAAUCUGCCUGGUAGUGGGGGAUAACGUCCGGAAACGGGCGCUAAUACUGCAUACGUCGUGAGGGAGCAAGUGGGGGAUCUUCGGACCUCACGCUAUCAGAUGAGCCUAGGUCGGAUUAGCUAGUUGGUGGGGUAAAGGCCUACCAAGGCGACGAUCCGUAACUGGUCUGAGAGGAUGAUCAGUCACACUGGAAGUGAGACACGGUCCAGACUCCUACGGGAGGCAGCAGUCGGGAAUAUUAGACAAUGGGCGAAAGCCUGAUCCAGCCAUGCCGCGUGUGUGAAGAAGGUGUUCGGAUUGUAAAGCACUUUAAGGUGGGAGGAAGGGCAGUAAGUUAAUACCUUGCUGUUUUGACGUUACCAACAGAAUAAGCACCGGCUAACUUCGUG